rnacentral:lncRNA from 1 species
CCAUAAGCUCUGCGGCGAGAUGCUUGACCUCCAUUGCACUGCCGCCUUUCUCCCCCUGCACAAAGAUCGCGGUCUCUGUUGAAUACUCUGUCGCCGGCCGGUCGAUGGAGGCCAAGAUCUUGGUGAAGGAAAGGCCGACUUCCGUAAACACCAAGUUAUCUGCCUUAAUUUCUGAAGGAAAGAGACGGAGAGAGAGAUGGAGAAGAGAG